rnacentral:rRNA from 1 species
UGCGGAGGGAUCAUUACCGAGUUAUUACUCCAAACCCUUUGUGAACCUUACCUUUUUUGUUGCUCGGCGCCUCGCGGGCCGCGGGCUCCGGCCCGUCCCGCAGGGUGCCAGAGGACCCAACUCUUCCAUUUUACAGUAUAUCUUCUGAUUUACCAAACAAACAAUCAAAACUUUCAACAACGGAUCUCUUGGUUCUGGCAUCGAUGAAGAACGCAGCGAAAUGCGAUAAGUAAUGUGAAUUGCAGAAUUCAGUGAAUCAUCGAAUCUUUGAACGCACAUUGCGCCCGGCAGUAUUCUGCCGGGCAUGCCUGUCCGAGCGUCAUUUCAACCCUCGAGCCGCUUUCAGUGGAUCGGUGUUGGGGCACUGCCGUCAAACGCAGGCCCUGAAAUGAAGUGGCGGUCCCGCCGCGGCGCCCCCAUGCGUAGUAACGUCUAGUCUCGCAUCGGGUCCCGGCGGAGGCCUGCCGUCAAGCCUAUUCUUAACUCAGAACAGUUUGACCUCGGAUCAGGUAGGGUUACCCGCUGAACUUAAGCAUAUC